AAAAAAAAAAAAAAAAAAACACUAUGGGCAUUCCUUCGUACAAUGGUAUAGGUGCUUCAUUGUGACAUUAGGGCCACAUAUUUAACUUUCUUACUGUGUAGUGGAGAGACCAAGUACACUUGACACUUCUUAGAGACUGCAAUGUAGAAAUUUGUGUGCACUGGAUACCACUUUGGGUACUCAAAAGACUACUCCUAACUGAAUUUGUCAUAAAGUUAUCUCCACAUGAUUAUAUAUUUCAUAGAAAAUGGGAAAGACAGAUGCACAAAUAGAAAGAACAAAAAAAGGACUAUAUUCAACUUGUGAACCUGAACUACUCUUCUUUUUAAAGAGGAUAAAAGAAGAUUUCACUAAUGAGAAAAGGUAAGGAUAUACAAUUGCAGGGCAAAACAUCUUCCUACCAAAGAAGGUAGAAAAGUAAACCUGAAAACAAAAACUAAUUAAUUCUCCAACUGUAUCAUACAUAUAGGGCAAGAAAAACAUCGCAAUAAAUUGAUGAAACAGAACCAACAAAAAGGCUAGAAAAACUAUUUUAUCCCACAGCAACUGCAAUGGCAAGCCUUGAUUCAUAAAAGUUUAGCAUUAGUCUCGCACUAAAUACUCCAAAUUACAAUAAAAGUUGCAUAUAGCAUAAUCUCUGAGCAUUUUUCCUCCAGUCAAAAGCUCUGGUUUUCAUUUUCUAAAACCAUCUAAAGUUUUCUUACAUGCCCCAUUUUCCUCAAAGAUAUCAAAUAAAUAGUUCAAGUAUGUUGGACAGUGUAAUGAAUAAAUGAAUGAGAGUGAGUCUCACUUUUCUUAUAGCAUAUAACAAGUUAGGAAAUCACUUUCACAAGUUGAUACAAAACUUUGAAAUAUACUCAUUCAUCAAUAGAUAAUUGGAGUCACCCUCCCUUCCAUUUGUGGGUCAGCAUCUGCUCUCUGUAGGGCAG
rnacentral:misc_RNA from 1 species